UAUGGCGGCUGUUUUAAUACUUUGAGUAUCGUAAGAUGAUGAUGCUAGAUAGCAAAAAUUGUAAAAGAAGAUUGUGAUAGAAAUGAUAAACACAGUUGUGAAUAGUAUUGUGAUGGACUUUCACGUGUUAAUGGUAAUCGUGAGUAUCUCUCGUCAAGUAUCAAAUAUUCAUCGUAAAUAUCACGGUUCUCUUCCGUGUGCUCGGAAUCGAUUGAAAUUGUCUUUGCAUAUUUCACGCCGUUAUUUUUGGAACGUCGUCGAAAUGUAGAGAAAGUACUUUGAUGCAUGAUCAUCGCCAAUAUCAACGAUCCAUCUCUGUCAAUGAUUUCUGUGUAUCUGGAAUCGAUUCAAAUCCCUUUCGCAUUUGAUAUGGAUACUUCCGCGCUGAAAUGUGACAAAAGUUGGUGCACAAUCGUCGUUAGCAAAUGGAUUUUUCUUUGACAGGAAAAACCCAAAAGAUGACACAAAACAGUAAAUCACAGGAAAGUACAGGAAUAUCCACUAAUAAUUUUUAUUAUUCCUGUAACAAUUUUCUUUAGAAAAAAUAUAUUCUUUUUAUAUUUUA